CUUAGUAACGUAGCUAACGCGUGAAGUUGACCGCCUGGGGAGUACGGUCGCAAGAUUAAAACUCAAAGGAAUUGACGGGGACCCGCACAAGCGGUGGAUGAUGUGGAUUAAUUCGAUGCAACGCGAAAAACCUUACCUACCCUUGACAUGUACGGAAUCCUGCUGAGAGGUGGGAGUGCUCGAAAGAGAACCGUAACACAGGUGCUGCAUGGCUGUCGUCAGCUCGUGUCGUGAGAUAUUGGGUUAAGUCCCGCAACGAGCGCAACCCUCGCCUUUAGUUGCCAUCAUUCAGUUGGGCACUCUAGAGGGACCGCCGGCGACAAGCCGGAGGAAGGUGGGGAUGACGUCAAGUCCUCAUGGCCCUUACACCCUGGGCUACACACGUGCUACAAUGGCGGUGACAGUGGGCAGCUACUUCGCGAGAAGCGGCUAAUCCCAAAAAACCGCCCCAGUUCAGAUUGUACUCUGCAACUCGAGUACAUGAAGGUGGAAUCGCUAGUAAUCGCAGAACAGCAGGCUGCGGUGAAUACGUUCCCGGGCCUUGUACACACCGC
rnacentral:rRNA from 1 species